UACGUAGGGUGCGAGCGUUUGUCCGGAAUUACUGGGCGUAAAGAGCUCGUAGGUGGUUUGUCGCGUUGUUCGUGAAAACUCACAACUCAAUUGUGGGCGUGCGGGCGAUACGGGCAGACUGGAGUACUGCAGGGGAGACUGGAAUUCCUGGUGUAGCGGUGAAAUGCGCAGAUAUCAGGAGGAACAUCAGUGGCGAAGGCGGCCUGCUGGGCUGUUGCUGACGCUGAGGCGCGCAGCGUGGGGAGCAACCAGG
rnacentral:rRNA from 1 species